rnacentral:lncRNA from 1 species
CAGGGCAGCCCCUGGUGAGUCAGGGCCUGAGUCAGCGCCCUCCGCGUUCCCAGAGGCCCCGCCAGGACCUGCAGCCCUGGGCGCCCCAACAGCCCGGCCCUGCUCAGCGCAGCUCUGGGUUGGAACUUGCACUUUCCAGUAACUCGGACCUCCCCCCGGCCGCCUUCCCAGGCGCCACCGGGCCCAGCAGAUCGUCACCGUCCAGGCUGGAGUGCAGUGGCGCGAUCUCGGCUCACUGCAACCUCCGUCUCCCCGAUUCUCCUGCCUCAGCCUCCCAAGUAGCUGGGAUUACAGGCGUGUGCCACCAUGCCCGGCUAAUGUUGUAUUUUUAGUAGAGACGGGGUUUCAGCAUGUUGGUCAAGCUGGUCUCUAACUCCUGAUUCUCAAGUGAACCACCAGCCUCAGCCUCCCAAAGUGCUGGGAUUACAGGCGUGAGCCACCGCGCCCGGCUAUCCCCUCCAAUAUUUCUGAGGCCAGCUGCCCAGAGAGGAGGGCUGGGUGGAGAGGACCGGGCCAGCAGCAGCAGGCCUGGGCCAGGAGACAGGCACGCACCUCCGCGGUCUCUGGCGAGCUAUGUCCACACAGCGGCAGGACCUCCACCCCCAGCCACCUGCAGCAGCCCCACAUCUCCACCGGGUCACCUUGCUGAGAUCAAGAAUGCUUCCCCCAAUGUCCCAACCCAUGAGGGCUUCUUGGAGCUGAGCCAGGGCACCGGCCACUUCUGGAGGGGGGCUGCUUAUGACUUCCGACCUCUGUCUCGCUAGUUGGCAUGCGAAGACUGGACUCCUUCUGCAGGCCUCAGGGCAGAAGCAGAUGUCAGCCCCCAGGGAUGUCACUGCCAGAACCCCAGAUGCCCCAAGCCAUCCGGACUCCCCCGUGCAGUAUCUCUGCUACAAUAAAAUGUACCCAGAUCUGAGCCCUCUCACCUGGGCGACUGCCAAUGUCCCCUGCGGCCCUAUACCCCGCCCCCAGGAGCCCAGAGGAUCUUUCUUUUUAAAGAUAUUCAGACCUCACAGAUAAGUCUGCCCUGAACAGCCCCUCCCCAGUUCCCAGGCCCUAUCCUGACAAUGGCCACAACUUCAGAGCAGCUGAAACCUGCUGUGAGUGAAAAAUGAGAAGCUGUUGUUUUAAUUUUACUUUCUCUGAUUACUAAUGAGUUUAUUUCUUCUCUGCAUAAAAACUUCAUUCGUGUUUAA